GCGAUUUAGACGCCAUCCUCCCCGCAGAACCUCCGCUGCCGAUCAGCGAAAGACCGCGGCGAGAAGACGACGUUAUUUUCGUCUCCGCACACCAGGAGAACUGCAGGAAAAUAAGUUUUAAAACCGAAGCGGUAAUCGAGAAUAUACAGACCCCGCCGCAGCGAAAAGAAGAACAAGAAGACGACGUUAUUUUCGUCACCGCAUACCAGGAGAACUGCAGGAAAAUACCUUUUAAAUCCGAAGCCGAGAUUGAGAAUAUACCUAUUCAAACCCCUGCUACAGACAAUUGGGCGGAGGAGCGAGAGAAUAUACCUAUUCAAACCCCCGCUACAGACAAUCGGACGGAGGAGCGAGAGAAUAUACCCAUUCAAACCCCCGCUACAGACAAUCGGGCGGAGGAGCGAGGUAAAUAAAAGUUUUUUUUCUUUUUUAAAAUAUGAAGGAUAUGCCGCGCAUGCUGACCCGGAGAGGUACAAUGUGUUUUCUUAAACUUUUUUCUCUUGUUUUUCUCGACAGAGAAUAUACCGACCGAUACAGAAAAUCAGGCGGAGGAACCAUCCAGAGCUCCUCCUCUCAGGAGACUGAGAGGUAAUUGACAGGGGGAUGAAUCGGUCCUAAGAAAUAAUUAUGUUGUAUUAAUAAAGUUCUCCGCUCUAUAAAAUAAAAAAUUUAAAAAA
ensembl:lncRNA